rnacentral:rRNA from 1 species
UACGAAGGGGGCUAGCGUUGCUCGGAAUGACUGGGCGUAAAGGGCGCGUAGGCGGUUUGUACAGUCAGGUGUGAAAUUCCCGGGCUCAACCUGGGGGCUGCACUUGAUACGUAUGGACUGGAGUGGGGAAGAGGGUCGUGGAAUUCCCAGUGUAGAGGUGAAAUUCGUAGAUAUUGGGAAGAACACCAGUGGCGAAGGCGGCGACCUGGUCCUUGACUGACGCUGAGGCGCGAAAGCGUGGGGAGCGAACAGG